rnacentral:rRNA from 1 species
GAUGAACGCUGGCGGCGUGCCUAAUACAUGCAAGUCGAGCGAACAGACGAGGAGCUUGCUCCUCUGACGUUAGCGGCGGACGGGUGAGUAACACGUGGAUAACCUACCUAUAAGACUGGGAUAACUUCGGGAAACCGGAGCUAAUACCGGAUAAUAUAUUGAACCGCAUGGUUCAAUAGUGAAAGACGGUUUUGCUGUCACUUAUAGAUGGAUCCGCGCCGCAUUAGCUAGUUGGUAAGGUAACGGCUUACCAAGGCAACGAUGCGUAGCCGACCUGAGAGGGUGAUCGGCCACACUGGAACUGAGACACGGUCAAGACUCCUACGGGAGGCAGCAGUAGGGAAUCUUCCGCAAUGGGCGAAGGCCUGACGGAGCAACGCCGCGUGAGUGAUGAAGGUCUUCGGAUCGUAAAACUCUGUUAUUAGGGAGGAACAAAUGUGUAAGUAACUAUGCACGUCUUGACGGUACCUAAUCAGAAAGCCACGGCUAACUACGUG